UCGGGAACUCUGAGACAGGUGNCUGCAUGGUUGUCGUCAGCUCGUGUGUGAAAUGUUGGGUUAAGUCCCGCAACGAGCGCAACCCUUAUCCUUUGUUGCCAGCGGUCCGGCCGGGAACUCAAAGGAGACUGCCAGUGAUAAACUGGAGGAAGGUGGGGAUGACGUCAAGUCAUCAUGGCCCUUACGAGUAGGGCUACACACGUGCUACAAUGGCGCAUACAAAGAGAAGCGACCUCGCGAGAGCAAGCGGACCUCAUAAAGUGCGUCNUAGUCCGGAUUGGAGUCUGCAACUCGACUCCAUGAAGUCGGAAUCGCUAGUAAUCGUAGAUCAGAAUGCUACGGUGAAUACGUUCCCGGGUCU
rnacentral:rRNA from 1 species